GUCGAACGUGAAAGCACUUCGGUGUGAGUAGAGUGGCGGACGGGUGAGUAACGCGUGGGGAUCUACCCAGUAGUGGGGGACAACUACCGGAAACGGUAGCUAAUACCGCAUACGCCCUAUGGGGGAAAGGCUUCGGCCGCUAUUGGAUGAGCCCGCGUCAGAUUAGCUAGUUGGUAGGGUAAAGGCCUACCAAGGCAACGAUCUGUAGCUGGUCUGAGAGGACGAACAGCCACACUGGGACUGAGACACGGCCCAGACUCCUACGGGAGGCAGCAGUGGGGAAUAUUGGACAAUGGGCGAAAGCCUGAUCCAGCAAUGCCGCGUGUGUGAAGAAGGCCUGCGGGUUGUAAAGCACUUUCAGUUGGGAAGAUGAUGACGUUACCAACAGAAGAAGCACCGGCUAAAUCCGUGCCAGCAGCCGCGGUAAUACGGAUGGUGCGAGCGUUAAUCGGAAUUACUGGGCGUAAAGCGCGCGUAGGCGGCUAAGUCAGUCAGAAGUGAAAGCCCCGGGCUCAACCUGGGAACUGCAUUUCGAACUG
rnacentral:rRNA from 1 species